rnacentral:rRNA from 1 species
UACGUAGGCAGCAAGCGUUGUUCGGAGUUACUGGGCGUAAAGAGUAUGUAGGCGGUUGCGUAAGUUCGGUGUGAAAUCUCCCGGCUUAACUGGGAGGGUGCGCCGAAAACUGCGUGGCUUGAGUGCGGGAGAGGAGAGCGGAAUUCCUGGUGUAGCGGUGAAAUGCGCAGAUAUCGGGAAGAACACCCGUGGCGAAGGCGGUUCUCUGGGACGGUACUGACGCUGAGACGCGAAAGCGUGGGGAGCGAACAGG